AGGAGAGGCUCCUGGGGAAGACACAGUGGGCCCGGGCCAGUUCUCACCUUACUGUAGGGAGGCCAUGUCUGGGCUGCACCUUCGUGACAAGAGGCUGGAAGCCAGCAGGUCCCAGCAAUCCUCCAGACUCUGCCACUGCGGGUACAGAUUUUCAACAUAGAAACAGGAAGAAAAAUGUCACGGGC